rnacentral:sRNA from 1 species
UAUCUCUCCGUACGGGGAAGGAUGAGAAGCUUCGACUAAGGUUCGAUUCGAGCGAAAGCGAGAAAGCGUUGCCGUAGGCAACGACCCGAAGGGCGAA